UUCCCAUUAGCUUAAUGGUAGAGCAGGAUUUUCCUAAAAUCUUGAUCCAAGUUCAAGUCUUGGAUGGGAAU
rnacentral:tRNA from 1 species